rnacentral:rRNA from 1 species
GGAUGCGAUCAUACCAGCACUAACGCACCGGAUCCCAUCAGAACUCAUAUGUUAAGCGUGCUUGGGCGAGAGUAGUACUAGGAUGGGUGACCCCCUGGGAAGUCCUCGUGUUGCAUCUG